CUGGUAGUAAAUAUAUUAUUAUUUAAGACAGCGUAAGCAGUGGUGACCCUCAAAACCUCUAACAACAACAACAAUACAACAAGUUACACCUUGAGAAGCCAUCCAGUUUAAUAAGUGUUUGGUUUGGAGGGACAAUGGCAGGUGUUGUGAGAGUAUCAGAAGACUCGGUACAAGCCCAUCACCACCCACCUUCAAGUGUCCAAGUUGGUAAACUUCCAAGUCAAGGCCAGGUCCUCCUCAAGCUCUUUGUCCACAGUGUUGCUAUGUUUACACUUCCAUUUGUAGCAUAUUAUACAAGCAAAGACUUUUUGGAAAGUAAAUUUGGUGUUGAACACCCAAUGAAUUUUAUUUAUGGAGCAUUAUGUGCAGUAGUUAUGGUGCAAAUUAUCAUCUUUUCCUACGUGUAUCAAGCAUUCAAAGAAGAACAAAUUGCCAGUAAACUCAAAGUAGCAUUAAAGAAAGAAUAAACUUUCUCACUAAUAUCUCACAUCUUUAUCUUUUAAAGUACAAGUGAUAAAUAUAAAUUUUUGUAAUGUCUGUGAAAUAAUCACAUCAAACAUCUUAUAAAUUUAGCCAUAACAUUUAACUGUAAAUAAAGUAAUGUUGAUGUUUAAACAUGACAAAGUAAAUAAAGAGUAGAUGUGUGUUAGUACACUUGCUGAAGCUUCUUAUGCAUAAUAUCUUCAUUAUGGGCUGACACUUUAAAAUAACUCUGGGUGAAAUAACAAAAUACAGUCCAUUAAUAUGCAUUCCACCAAGUGUAUAACAUUAUUUAGGUUUUUGUACAGUAUUCAAUUAAGAUAAUAAACAAA